rnacentral:rRNA from 1 species
CUACGGGUCGCUGCAGUGGGGAAUAUUGCACAAUGGAGGAAACUCUGAUGCAGCAACGCCGCGUGGAGGAUGACACUUUUCGGAGCGUAAACUCCUUUUAUAUAGGGAGAUAAUGACGGUACUAUAUGAAUAAGCACCGGCUAACUCCGUGCCAGCAGCCGCGGUAAUACGGAGGGUGCAAGCGUUACUCGGAAUCACUGGGCGUAAAGAGCGUGUAGGCGGAUAGAUAAGUCAGGAGUGAAAUCCUAUGGCUCAACCAUAGAACUGCUCUUGAAACUGUCUAUCUAGAAUAUGGGAGAGGUAGAUGGAAUUUCUGGUGUAGGGGUAAAAUCCGUAGAGAUCAGAAGGAAUACCGAUUGCGAAGGCGAUCUACUGGAACAUUAUUGACGCUGAGACGCGAAAGCGUGGGGAGCAAACAGGAUUAGAUACCCGGGUAGUC